rnacentral:rRNA from 1 species
GGGGCGUGCUACCCCUGCAAGUCGAACGGCCCUCCUGCCUUUGGUGGGGUGGUGAGUGGCGAACGGGUGAGUAACACGUGAGUAACCUGCCCUCUUCUCUGGGAUAACUGCUUGAAAGGGCGGCUAAUACGGGAUGUUCUGGCUGCCUCGCAUGGGGUGGUUUGGAAAGAUUCGGCCUGGUUUUGGUUGUUUUGGUGGGGGAUGGGCUCGCGGCUUAUCAGCUUGUUGGUGGGGUGAUGGCCUACCAAGGCGGUGACGGGUAGCCGGCCUGAGAGGGUGGACGGUCACACUGGGACUGAGACACGGCCCAGACUCCUGCGGGAGGCAGCAGUGGGGGAUUUUGCACAAUGGGCGCAAGCGUGAAGCAGCGACGCCGCGUGAGGGAUGGAGGCCUUCGGGUUGU